rnacentral:rRNA from 1 species
GCCGUUCUCAGUUCGGAUCGGAGUCUGCAACCCGACUCCGUGAAGCUGGAUUCGCUAGUAAUCGCGCAUCAGCCAUGGCGCGGUGAAUACGUUCCCGGGCCUUGUACACACCGCCCGUCAAGCCAUGGGAGCCGGGGGUGCUUGAAGUUCGUGACCGCAAGGAUCGACCUAGGGCAAAACCGGUGACUGGGGCUAAGUCGUAACAAGGUAUC